CUCUCUCUCUCUCUCUCUUUCUCAGACAGCAGCCCACCCUAUUUAAACCAGUGCCCUGUCCCACCCUGUGCUGAAUGCGAACCCAAAUCUUGACCUGUUUGGAAACAAAAUUGAUGGAGCUUGGAAAAAUGGCAUCCCGCAGGAAUGAGCCAACUUAUCUUGCCUGGUCCAUCUUCAACACUUUUUGUUGCUGUUUGCCACUUGGCAUUGCAGCAAUCAUCUACUCAUGCAGAGCAGACAAUGCAAAUUCACUUGGAGAUGCUGGAAGAGCUCAAGAGUCCUCCAGGAUAGCAAAGAACCUGAAUAUUGCUUCACUGGUGAUUGGACUGAUUGGAUUAAUUAUGUUGAUUGUAAUGGUGGUGAUUGGAGGCUCAAAAAUGUAAACAACAUAACCAUAUGCCUUUGAUUGAAUGUGGUGGGGGGGGGUUGUUUUUUUUUUUUUUUUUUUUUUUUUUGCUAUUCCAAA